rnacentral:rRNA from 1 species
UACGAAGGGGGCUAGCGUUGUUCGGAAUCACUGGGCGUAAAGCGCACGCAGGCGGAUUGAUAAGUCAGGGGUGAAAUCCCGGAGCUCAACUUCGGAAUUGCCUUUGAUACUGUCUGUCUUGAGUCCGGGAGAGGUGAGUGGAAUUCCUAGUGUAGAGGUGAAAUUCGUAGAUAUUAGGAAGAACACCAGUGGCGAAGGCGGCCAACUGGACCACAACUGACGCUGAGGCGCGAAAGCGUGGGGAGCAAACAGG